CAUGCCUUUAAUCCCAGCACUCAGGAGGCAGAAGCAAGUGGAUCUCUGUGAGUUCCAGGACAGCCAAGAAAGCCGACAAAUCUGAAGACAUGCCUGAGGAGGUAGCUGUGUCUGGAAGACAGUAGGAAGUGUGUGUCCUCAUGGAAGACCCCAGCCUACCCAGUGGUUUUGAUCUGGAAAAAGGCCUCAGGCUUGCCUUUGUUACCUUUAUAUUACUCUUUGUAAUAGUGAUGGUUUUCCGGUGGUUGAAGUUUCUGAGGGAUUCAAAUGAAGUUUUUGACUAGUAAGCUCCAUAACCACAGAUCCAUCUCUGAGCUGAAGGACCAUAAAACCUGCAGACUCCCCUCACAAGACAUUUGCAAUCUUG